rnacentral:rRNA from 1 species
GAUGAACGCUGGCGGCGUGCUUAACACAUGCAAGUCGAACGGACAGGCGCUGCGUUUGUGGGGUGCUCGAGUGGCGAACGGGUGAGUAACACGUGUGUAACCUGCCCUUGAAUUUGGGAUAACUCCACGAAACUCGGGAUCAUACAGGAUAUGAGAUCCUGCUCCGUGGUGGGGGUUGGAAAGUUUCGGCGGUUGGGGAUGGACUCGCGGCUUACCAGCUUGUUGGUGGAGUAGUUGCGUACGAAGGCUUUGAAGGGUAGCCCGCAUGAGAGGGUGACCGGCGUCAUUGGGACUGAGAUACGGACCAGACUCGUACGGGAGGCAGCAGUGGGGAAUAUUGCACAAUGGGCGGAAGCCUGAGGCAGCAACGCCGCGAGCGUGAUGACGGCCUUCGGGGUGUAAACCGAUUUCGCCGUAGACGAAGCGUGAGUGACGGUAAUGGGUAAAGAAGCACCGGCUAACUACGUG